UCCUACGGGAGGCAGCAGUGGGGAAUAUUGCACAAUGGGCGAAAGCCUGAUGCAGCGACGCCGCGUGAGGGAUGACGGCCUUCGGGUUGUAAACCUCUUUCAGCAGGGAAGAAGCGAAAGUGACGGUACCUGCAGAAGAAGCACCGGCUAACUACGUGCCAGCAGCCGCGGUAAUA
rnacentral:rRNA from 1 species